UGAAUGCAGGGCGGCGCGGAAGCGCGCCGCCCCUACAGUGGGUGUGGGGCCUACAGUCCCAGUCCGUGGCACUUGG
rnacentral:tRNA from 4 species